AGAGUUUGAUCAUGGCUCAGGACGAACGCUGGCGGCGUGCUUAACACAUGCAAGUCGAACGGAAAGGCCCUUCGGGGUACUCGAGUGGCGAACGGGUGAGUAACACGUGGGUGAUCUGCCCUGCACUUUGGGAUAAGCCUGGGAAACUGGGUCUAAUACCGAAUACACCUCAUUGACUGCAUGGUUGGUGGGGGAAAGCUUUUGCGGUGUGGGAUGGGCCCGCGGCCUAUCAGCUUGUUGGUGAGGUUACGGCUCACCAAGGCGACGACGGGUAGCCGGCCUGAGAGGGUGACCGGCCACACUGGGACUGAGAUACGGCCCAGACUCCUACGGGAGGCAGCAGUGGGGAAUAUUGCACAAUGGGCGCAAGCCUGAUGCAGCGACGCCGCGUGGGGGAUGACGGCCUUCGGGUUGUAAACUCCUUUCAGCACAGACGAAGCGCAAGUGACGGUAUGUGCAGAAGAAGAUACGAGC
rnacentral:rRNA from 1 species